UGUCGAAUAAAACCGUAACUUUUUUCCCUAGUGAUUUCAAAACAUAUGCAGGACAGAAUAUAUUUUGAUCUUGCUGAAUUGCGAGGGACGCUUCAAAAAGGUAUUAAAUUAGUUUUACAUGACAUAAUGCAAAUUAAAAAUGCAGUAAACUCAAUGGAUCUCCGAGAUCUCGUGAUCUUUUUGCAAAAACCAUACCCUCAAACACCUUGUACCCGGUAAAACAUGUGCGUACAAAAAAUUACUCUCCGAGGACUGCAAUUGAUCGCGAAUGAGAUCAAGAAUUUGUUGCCUAUGCGAAUUCUAAAGAUAAUGAAUUCGAAACUCCUACAAACUACUAGUAUAGCAGUCCGGCCUUCAUUCAACAACUUUACAAACAGAUGCCCGUGUUUGCAACGCUUGGCGAUACGCUAGAUCCGAGGAAAUAGAAUAAAUUUUACAACUUGAUUUAAUCUGUGCGAAAAAUUCUAUUCAACGUGCAUCUCCAUAACGUGCUGUCUCUUGUAUUUGAAAAGAUAGAAAUAUAUUAUAAUUUGAUCUAUCGUUUCAAGAAGAGUUUUGGAGUUUAUGACACUAAUUAUCCUGCACCAAGGUCAGGUUCAACAGUACUAGGCCAAAGCAUAAAUUUGGAAAAUGAGUGUAAAUUCCUUUAAAUUUGGGUCGAGGGUUGAACUAUUUGGAACAAAUUCAGAAAUGGCGAAUAUACAAUGAUUUGAUGAACAAUUGAAAAAUUUUACUUUAGAAAAUCAUUACAAAGAAACAAAUAUGAAUUUUGUG